rnacentral:rRNA from 1 species
CUACGGGGGGCACCAGUCGAGAAUAUUCCACAAUGGACGAAAGUCUGAUGGAGCGACGCCGCGUGCAGGAAGAAGGCCCUUGGGUCGUAAACUGCUUUUGUAAGGGAAGAAUGUAAUGACGGUACCUUACGAAUAAGAGGUUACUAACUCUGUGCCAGCAGUAGCAGUAAUACAGAGACCUCAAGCGUUAUCCGGAUUUAUUGGGCGUAAAGCGCAUGUAGGCGGAUAUAUUAGUCAGAUGUCAAAUCUUCGAGCUCAACUCGAAAACUGCAUUUGAAACGGUAUAUCUAGAGAGAGGGAGAGAUCAAUGGAACAUAUGGUGUAGUAGUGAAAUGCGUUGAUAUCAUAUGGAACACCAAAGGCGAAGGCAUUUGAUUGGUCCUUAUCUGACGCUGAGAUGCGAAAGCGUGGGUAGCGAAUGGGAUUAGAUACCCCUGUAGUC